GGGAAGCGGGUGUGAGGGUGCCUGGGUUCAUUGUGAGUAGGGCAUCAGGCUUUUUGUGUGGGCUGGGAGCUGUUUUUACUCAGGAUGAUGAUGAAACAAAUCCAUUCUGAGUUAAACCUUUUGUUCUUUGUGAUCAGUCAUAAGUAAAGGAAGAGGAUGAAAGGAGAGGGAUGAUGUACAGUAGAACCAUGAUGACCGUGCCAGAGGCCCAGCUUGUCAGCCAGCCUGUUAUGGCCUCUCAGACCACAGUUUUAAAGCCACACACAGGUACAGUAUGGCUGAAACUUCCUGUAUUCUGUUUCUGAGAGUCUGUUUUCUCCCCGCCCUUUAAAGUGUCACUGAGGCCUCUAUCUGUCAAUCACAAAGACUCUGUUCCUCCAGACAAGGACCAGACAAUCCUUGCGCUUCUAGAACACUCACAUAUCCUGCCCCGGAGGUUUUUUUGUAAGCAAAGCCUUAUUCAAACAAAGAUAAGCGAUGACAUGAAUGUGUUUGACAGUUUUAGAGCUUUUUUUUAAGUUUGAGAAUAAACCCUCUUGCUAACUAAAGUACAUUCUAGUCCUUGCCUGAGGCUGUGCUUGCUACAAGCCUGCCAGUACUGACCUGACAGAGGAGAGAGGGAGGUGGAAAGAGACACCUCUGAUGGUAACACUAAGCUGAGGUUCGCUAAUUGCAGUUUUGAUUCCUGGGUUGUCACGGACCGAUUGCAGAAGUGAUCCAUUGAUUCCUCUGAAUUGCUCUGUUUCUCUGUAAUGUAAAACAACACACUAUUAAAUCCUUUCAAAGUGA